rnacentral:rRNA from 1 species
UACGUAGGGGGCAAGCGUUGUCCGGAAUCAUUGGGCGUAAAGAGCGUGUAGGCGGUCCGGUAAGUCGGCUGUGAAAGUCCAGGGCUCAACCCUGGGAUGCCGGUCGAUACUGCCGGACUAGAGUUCGGAAGAGGCGAGUGGAAUUCCCGGUGUAGCGGUGAAAUGCGCAGAUAUCGGGAGGAACACCUAUGGCGAAGGCAGCUCGCUGGGACGUUACCGACGCUGAGACGCGAAAGCGUGGGGAGCAAACAGG